CGUUCCCGGGUCUUGUACACACCGCCCGUCACACCAUGGGAGCGGGUUUUACCAGAAGUAGGUAGCUUAACCGCAAGGAGGGCGCUUACCACGGUAGGAUUCGUGACUGGGGGUGAAGUCGUAACAAAGGUACC
rnacentral:rRNA from 1 species